GGUCUCAAAUGAUUAAAACACUUAAGGGGUUUAAAUGAGCUUAAUAUUUUAUUAUUAAGUGAUUUAAAAAAAAGAAAUUGAAUCUUUUCAAUUUUAUGAUGAGCA
rnacentral:snRNA from 1 species